AAAUUGAAGAGUUUGAUCAUGGCUCAGAUUGAACGCUGGCGGCAGGCCUAACACAUGCAAGUCGAACGGUAACAGGAAGCAGCUUGCUGCUUUGCUGACGAGUGGCGGACGGGUGAGUAAUGUCUGGGAAACUGCCUGAUGGAGGGGGAUAACUACUGGAAACGGUGGCUAAUACCGCAUAACGUCGCAAGACCAAAGAGGGGGACCUUCGGGCCUCUUGCCAUCAGAUGUGCCCAGAUGGGAUUAGCUUGUUGGUGAGGUAACGGCUCACCAAGGCGACGAUCCCUAGCUGGUCUGAGAGGAUGACCAGCCACACUGGAACUGAGACACGGUCCAGACUCCUACGGGAGGCAGCAGUGGGGAAUAUUGCACAAUGGGCGCAAGCCUGAUGCAGCCAUGCCGCGUGUAUGAAGAAGGCCUUCGGGUUGUAAAGUACUUUCAGCGGGGAGGAAGGUGUUGUGGUUAAUAACCGCAGCAAUUGACGUUACCCGCAGAAGAAGCACCGGCUAACUCCGUGCCAGCAGCCGCGGUAAUACGGAGGGUGCAAGCGUUAAUCGGAAUUACUGGGCGUAAAGCGCACGCAGGCGGUCUGUCAAGUCGGAUGUGAAAUCCCCGGGCUCAACCUGGGAACUGCAUUCGAAACUGGCAGGCUUGAGUCUUGUAGAGGGGGGUAGAAUUCCAGGUGUAGCGGUGAAAUGCGUAGAGAUCUGGAGGAAUACCGGUGGCGAAGGCGGCCCCCUGGACAAAGACUGACGCUCAGGUGCGAAAGCGUGGGGAGCAAACAGGAUUAGAUACCCUGGUAGUCCACGCCGUAAACGAUGUCUACUUGGAGGUUGUGCCCUUGAGGCGUGGCUUCCGGAGCUAACGCGUUAAGUAGACCGCCUGGGGAGUACGGCCGCAAGGUUAAAACUCAAAUGAAUUGACGGGGGCCCGCACAAGCGGUGGAGCAUGUGGUUUAAUUCGAUGCAACGCGAAGAACCUUACCUGGUCUUGACAUCCACGGAAGUUUUCAGAGAUGAGAAUGUGCCUUCGGGAACCGUGAGACAGGUGCUGCAUGGCUGUCGUCAGCUCGUGUUGUGAAAUGUUGGGUUAAGUCCCGCAACGAGCGCAACCCU
rnacentral:rRNA from 1 species